GAUGAACGUUGGCGGCGUGCCUAAUACAUGCAAGUCGAGCGAACAGAUGAGGAGCUUGCUCCUCUGACGUUAGCGGCGGACGGGUGAGUAACACGUGGAUAACCUACCUAUAAGACUGGGAUAACUUCGGGAAACCGGAGCUAAUACCGGAUAAUAUAUUGAACCGCAUGGUUCAAUAGUGAAAGACGGUUUUGCUGUCACUUAUAGAUGGAUCCGCGCCGCAUUAGCUAGUUGGUAAGGUAACGGCUUACCAAGGCAACGAUGCGUAGCCGACCUGAGAGGGUGAUCGGCCACACUGGAACUGAGACACGGUCCAGACUCCUACGGGAGGCAGCAGUAGGGAAUCUGCCGCAAUGGGCGAAAGCCUGACGGAGCAACGCCGCGUGAGUGAUGAAGGUCUUCGGAUCGUAAAACUCUGUUAUUAGGGAAGAACAAAUGUGUAAGUAACUAUGCACGUCUUGACGGUACCUAAUCAGAAAGCCACGGCUAACUACGUG
rnacentral:rRNA from 1 species